rnacentral:rRNA from 1 species
UACAGAGGGGGCAAGCGUUAUUCGGAAUUAUUGGGCGUAAAGGGCGCGUAGGCGGCCUGGCAAGUGGAUGGUGAAAUCCCUCGGCUUAACCGAGGAACUGCCAUCCAGACUGCUUGGCUUGAGACCGGGAGAGGUGAGUGGAAUUCCUGGUGUAGCGGUGAAAUGCGCAGAUAUCAGGAGGAACACCAAUGGCGAAGGCAGCUCGCUGGGACGGUACUGACGCUGAGACGCGAAAGCGUGGGGAGCAAACAGG